rnacentral:rRNA from 1 species
UUGCACCAGGCGACGACCGGCGGACGGGUGAGUAACACGUAUGCAAUUUGCCUUUAACUGGAGGAUAGCUUCGGGAAACCGUAAUUAAUAGCUCCAUAGUAUUCAAAAGACGCAUGUCUUGUGAAUUAAAGCUCCGGCGGUUAAAGAUAAGCAUGCGGGACAUUAGCUAGUUGGUAAGGUAACGGCUUACCAAGGCGACGAUGUCUAGGGGGUUUGAGAGGAUGAUCCCCCACACUGGUACUGAGACACGGACCAGACUCCUACGGGAGGCAGCAGUGAGGAAUAUUGGGCAAUGGGCGCAAGCCUGACCCAGCCAUGCCGCGUGCAGGAUGAAGGUCCUAUGGAUCGUAAACUGCUUUUGUAUGGGAAGAACUUCCCGCAUUCGUGCGGGAUUGACGGUACUAUACGAAUCAGGACCGGCUAACUCCGUGCCAGCAGCCGCGGUAAUACGGAGGGUCCAAGCGUUAUCCGGAUUCACUGGGUUCAAAGGGUGCGUAGGUGGAACGAUAAGUCGAUGGUGAAAGCCUACAGCUUAACUGUAGAAUUGCCAUUGAUACUGUUGUUCUUGAGUAUAGUCGGGGGAAGUGGAAUGCGUAAUGUAGCGGUGAAAUGCAUAGAUAUUACGCAGAACACCGAUCGCGAAAGCA